GCGGGAAUAGCUCAGCUGGUAGAGCACGACCUUGCCAAGGUCGGGGUCGGGAGUUCGAAUCUCCUUUCCCGCUCCA
rnacentral:tRNA from 1 species